UACGGAGGGGGCUAGCGUUGUUCGGAAUUACUGGGCGUAAAGGGCGCGUAGGCGGCUAGGCAAGUCAGGUGUGAAAGCCCCGAGCUUAACUCGGGAAUUGCAUCUGAAACUGCUGUGCUUGAGUUCUGGAGGGGGUAGUGGAAUUCCCAGUGUAGCGGUGAAAUGCGUAGAUAUUGGGAGGAACACCUGCGGCGAAGGCGGCUACCUGGACAGAAACUGACGCUGAGGCGCGAAAGCGUGGGGAGCAAACAGG
rnacentral:rRNA from 1 species